UGGGCCGGUCGUCUAAUGGCCAAGACAUGGGCCUGUGCAGCCUUGAACGGCGGUUCGAUUCCGUCCCGGCCAGCCA
rnacentral:tRNA from 1 species